CAGUCGAGCGGAUGAGGGAGCUUGCUCCUGGAUUCAGUCGGCGGACGGGUGAGUAUGCCUAGGAAUCUGCCUGGUAGUGGGGGAUACGUCCGGAAACGGGCGCUAAUACCGCAUACGUCCUGAGGGAGAAAGUGGGGGAUCUUCGGACCUCACGCUAUCAGAUGAGCCUAGGUCGGAUUAGCUAGUUGGUGGGGUAAAGGCCUACCAAGGCGACGAUCCGUAACUGGUCUGAGAGGAUGAUCAGUCACACUGGAACUGAGACACGGUCCAGACUCCUACGGGAGGCAGCAGUGGGGAAUAUUGGACAAUGGGCGAAAGCCUGAUCCAGCCAUGCCGCGUGUGUGAAGAAGGUCUUCGGAUUGUAAAGCACUUUAAGUUGGGAGGAAGGGCAGUAAGUUAAUACCUUGCUGUUUUGACGUUACCAACAGAAUAAGCACCGGCUAACUUCGUGCCAGCAGCCGCGGUAAUACGAAGGGUGCAAGCGUUAAUCGGAAUUUACUGGCGUAAAGCGCGCGU
rnacentral:rRNA from 1 species